GAGUUUGAUCGUGGCUCAGGAUGAACGCUAGCGACAGGCUUAACACAUGCAAGUCGAGGGGCAGCGUGGUGUGGCAACACACUGACGGCGACCGGCGCACGGGUGAGUAACGCGUAUGCAACUUGCCUAUCAGAGGGGGAUAACCCGUCGAAAGACGGACUAAUACCGCAUGAAACAGGGGUCCCGCAUGGGGAUAUUUGUUAAAGAUUACAUCGCUGAUAGAUAGGCAUGCGUUCCAUUAGGUAGUUGGUGGGGCAACGGCCCACCAAGCCGACGAUGGAUAGGGGUUCUGAGAGGAAGGUCCCCCCACACUGGUACUGAGACACGGACCAGACUC
rnacentral:rRNA from 1 species